GAUGAACGCUGGCGGCGUGCCUAAUACAUGCAAGUCGAGCGAACGGACGAGAAGCUUGCUUCUCUGAUGUUACCGGCGGACGGGUGAGUAACACGUGGAUAACCUACCUAUAAGACUGGGAUAACUUCGGGAAACCGUAGCUAAUACCGGAUAAUAUUUUGAACCGCAUGGUUCAAAAGUGAAAGACGGUCUUGCUGACACUUAUAGAUGGAUCCGCGCUGCAUUAGCUAGUUGGUAAGGUAACGGCUUACCAAGGCAACGAUGCAUAGCCGACCUGUGAGGGUGAUCGGCCACACUGGAACUGAGACACGGUCCAGACUCCUACGGGAGGCAGCAGUAGGGAAUCUUCCGCAAUGGGCGAAAGCCUGACGGAGCAACGCCGCGUGAGUGAUGAAGGUCUUCGGAUCGUAAAACUCUGUUAUUAGGGAAGAACAUAUGUGUAAGUAACUGUGCACAUCUUGACGGUACCUAAUCAGAAAGCCACGGCUAACUACGUG
rnacentral:rRNA from 1 species